AACGCCAUGGCUAAAAAUGAAAAAGACAAACAGAAAAACAAUAGUACACACGACACAACAUAGAAAACUAAAGAAUAAACAACACGAACCCCACCAAGAACUAGGGGUGAUCUCAGGUGCUCCGGAAGGGUAAGCAGAUUCUGCCUCCACAUGUGGCACCCGUCGUGUUGCUUAAGUGAUUACAAAUCCGGUAAAUAGUCUAAUUCGGUAGGUCAUAUUCAUGAAAGGGAAGG
rnacentral:lncRNA from 1 species